rnacentral:rRNA from 1 species
CUUUGGGAUAACAGUAGGAAACUGCUGCUAAUACCGGAUAUCACCUCCUUCUGCAUGGUGGGGGGUUGAAAGCUUUUGCGGUCAGGGAUGGGCUCGCGGCCUAUCAGCUUGUUGGUGAGGUAAUGGCUCACCAAGGCUUCGACGGGUAGCCGGCCUGAGAGGGCGACCGGCCACACUGGGACUGAGAUACGGCCCAGACUCCUACGGGAGGCAGCAGUGGGGAAUAUUGCACAAUGGGCGGAAGCCUGAUGCAGCAACGCCGCGUGCGGGAUGACGGCCUUCGGGUUGUAAACCGCUUUCACUCAUGACGAAGCGCAAGUGACGGUAGUGAGAGAAGAAGCACCGGCCAACUACGUGCCAGCAGCCGCGGUGAUACGUAGGGUGCGAGCGUUGUCCGGAAUUAUUGGGCGUAAAGAGCUCGUAGGCGGUCUGUCACGUCGGAAGUGAAAACUCAGGGCUUAACCCUGAGCCUGCUCCCGAUACGGGCAGACUUGAGGAAGGUAGGGGAGAACGGAAUUCCUGGUGGAGCGGUGGAAUGCUCAGAUAUCAGGAGGAACACCGGUGGCGAAGGCGGUUCUCUGGACCUUUCCUGACGCUGAGGAGCGAAAGCGUGGGGAGCAAACAGGCUUAGAUACCCUGGUAGUCCACGCCGUAAACGGUGGGCACUAGGUGUGGGGGACAUUCCACGUUCUCCGUGCCGUAGCUAACGCAUUAAGUGCCCCGCCUGGGGAGUACGGCCGCAAGGCUAAAACUCAAAGGAAUUGACGGGGGCCCGCACAAGCGGC